GUUUUGAUUAUGGCUCAGAUUGAACGCUGGCGGAAUGCUUUACACAUGCAAGUCGAACGGCAGCAUAGAGAGCUUGCUCUCUGAUGGCGAGUGGCGAACGGGUGAGUAAUAUAUCGGAACGUGCCUAGUAAUGGGGAAUAACUAGCUGAAAGGUUAGCUAAUGCCGCAUACGACCUACGGGUGAAAGCAGGGGAUCUUCGGACCUUGCGUUAUUAGAGCGGCCGAUAUCUGAUUAGCUUGUUGGUGGGGUAAUGGCCUACCAAGGCGACGAUCAGUAGCUGGUCUGAGAGGACGAUCAGCCACACUGGAACUGAGACACGGUCCAGACUCCUACGGGAGGCAGCAGUGGGGAAUUUUGGACAAUGGGGGCAACCCUGAUCCAGCCAUUCCGCGUGAGUGAAGAAGGCCUUCGGGUUGUAAAGCUCUUUCGCAAGAGAAGAAAACUUGCUAUCUAAUAAAUAGUAAGUAUGACGGUAUCUG
rnacentral:rRNA from 1 species